AGAGUUUGAUUCUGGCUCAGAACGAACGCUGGCGGCAGGCCUAACACAUGCAAGUCGAGCGCGCCCUUCGGGGUGAGCGGCGGACGGGUUAGUAACGCGUGGGAACGUACCCUUUGGUAGGGAAUAGCCACUGGAAACGGUGAGUAAUACCCUAUGAGCCCUUCGGGGGAAAGAUUUAUCGCCAAAGGAUCGGCCCGCGUUAGAUUAGGUAGUUGGUGGGGUAAUGGCCUACCAAGCCUACGAUCUAUAGCUGGUUUUAGAGGAUGAUCAGCAACACUGGGACUGAGACACGGCCCAGACUCCUACGGGAGGCAGCAGUGGGGAAUCUUGGACAAUGGGGGCAACCCUGAUCCAAGCCAUGCCGCGUGAGUGAAGAAGGCCUUAGGGUCGUAAAGCUCUUUCGCCUGUGAAGAUAAUGACGGUAGCAGGUAAAGAAACCCCGGCUAGCUCCGUGCCAGCCGCAGC
rnacentral:rRNA from 1 species